rnacentral:tRNA from 1 species
UCGAAUAUGGUGUAACGGCUAACAUUACCGCCUCUCAUAAUGUUGGUUUAUAUUGCACGCGGCAGCUCGGGGUUUGAUUCCCCGUAUCCGAA